UGAAAAAGACAGACAAAGUGGUUUUUUGUUUUAUGAGGUGAGCACUGCUCAUCCUCUGGGUUCUCAGGGGUUGUUUUCAGUCCACCUGAAGGUACCACCAGAACUUCUCACACACAGCCCAGGACAGCAGCUCCCUCACACUCCCCACAUUGAUGCUGUGCUUGGUUUGGGGUAGGAAAAGGUGCUUCCCUGCAGUGUCCCAUCACCAGAAAAGCACCUGCACGCUGCAGAUUCAAAAGGGAAAAUGUAAUUGAACAUUGACAUGCAAACAAGUCUGCUCUCUUCAUGUAAAAAUGUAUUGCAUGCAUCAAAUGAAAACUUAUUUUUACUGUAAGAGCCACACCAUCCUCUACUGGAUAUGUGCGCAGACCUGGGAGGGAGUGUUUCCCCAGCCAGGAGGAAGCUCUUUGUCAGGUACUGCUUGUGUGGUUCACUGUGGGUUUAGUUGUCAUCCAUCUUACGUGCCCAUUCACCAAUUAUCUGUAAUCCUCUUUUUCCUUUCCUUGCCCCGCUGUGACUGAAAGCAUCCUCAGGUGCAAACCCCGUGACUGCAGGUGACCAUGGAAGUGCAGCUGGCCAAGCCCCGCUGGAGCCAGCAGAGCGGGCGAGCCUGGCCUCGGAGGGGAGCAGCCCGGGCCAGCAGCUGCCGGCAGAGGAGGCUUCAGCCGCGCUCCGGGACGUGGAAGGACAGACGGGGUCGGUCAGUAAAAGGGAGGAGCCAGAGGGCACCGAGCCGCUGCCUGCAGGAGAGGAGGAGAGCUCCGAGCUGCCCUCCGUGUGGCGAGAGGAGAGCAGGGGCCCCUCACCGCCAGCGCCAGGAGAAGAUGCUGGGGCACCAUCGCCAGAACCAGCAGAGGACAGUGGGCUGGCAGAGGGCAGUGACACCUCUCUAGUGGAAGUCGUCGAGAAAGUACAUAUUGCUGAAGAGGAGCACCUCGCUGAGGGUGAGACGGGAGAACAGGUGGAAACUGAGCUGCUCAGUGAGACAGUAAGUGAAGGGCCUGAAACAAAAGAAGAAGAAACAGGAGAAGCUGUGGAUAGUGCAGCAGCGACAGAGAUAGGCAUACAGCUGCUUUCUGCAUUUUUACACAAGAGAAUCAAAAAUACUUUACAGUAAAAGACAUUUUUGGAAGCAACCAAUUGGAAGUCAUGCUUUUUACAUGGGUCAUCUUUAUAUAAUACACAAGCCUUAUCAGUGAUAACUUUACCCACUUUGGGAAGAAUGAUAGACUGUAACAUGCAGUCUUGGAAAAUAAAAAACCUUUGUUCAA